rnacentral:rRNA from 1 species
UACGUAGGGGGCAAGCGUUGUCCGGAGUACUGGGCGUAAAGCGCACGCAGGCGGUCAGAUCAGUCUGUCGUGACAGUCGUCGGCUCAACCGACGAAGUACGAUGGAAACUGUUUGACUUGAGGGCUUCAGAGGGACACGGAAUUCCGGGUGGAGUGGUGAAAUGCGUAGAUAUCCGGAGGAACACCGAUGGCGAAGGCAGUGUCCUGGGAAGUACCUGACGCUCAGGUGCGAAAGCUAGGGGAGC